rnacentral:rRNA from 1 species
GGUUAAGCGACUAAGCGUACACGGUGGAUGCCCUGGCAGUCAGAGGCGAUGAAGGACGUGCUAAUCUGCGAAAAGCGCCGGCGAGGUGAUAUGAACCUUUGACCCGGCGAUGUCCGAAUGGGGAAACCCAGUGUGUUCCGACACACUAUCGUUAACUGAAUACAUAGGUUAACGAGGCGAACCGGGGGAACUGAAACAUCUAAGUACCCCGAGGAAAAGAAAUCAACCGAGAUUCCCCCAGUAGCGGCGAGCGAACGGGGAGCAGCCCAGAGUCUGAAUCAGCUUGUGUGUUAGUGGAAGCGUCUGGAAAGUCGCACGGUACAGGGUGACAGUCCCGUACACGAAAGCACACAGGUUGUGAACUCGAAGAGUAGGGCGGGACACGUGGUAUCCUGUCUGAAUAUGGGGGGACCAUCCUCCAAGGCUAAAUACUCCUGACUGACCGAUAGUGAACCAGUACCGUGAGGGAAAGGCGAAAAGAACCCCGGCGAGGGGAGUGAAAAAGAACCUGAAACCGUGUACGUACAAGCAGUGGGAGCACCUUCGUGGUGUGACUGCGUACCUUUUGUAUAAUGGGUCAGCGACUUAUAUUCUGUAGCAAGGUUAACCGUAUAGGGGAGCCGAAGGGAAACCGAGUCUUAACUGGGCGUUAAGUUGCAGGGUAUAGACCCGAAACCCGGUGAUCUAGCCAUGGGCAGGUUGAAGGUUGGGUAACACUAACUGGAGGACCGAACCGACUAAUGUUGAAAAAUUAGCGGAUGACUUGUGGCUGGGGGUGAAAGGCCAAUCAAACCGGGAGAUAGCUGGUUCUCCCCGAAAGCUAUUUAGGUAGCGCCUCGUGAACUCAUCUUCGGGGGUAGAGCACUGUUUCGGCUAGGGGGCCAUCCCGGCUUACCAACCCGAUGCAAACUACGAAUACCGAAGAAUGUUAUCACGGGAGACACACGGCGGGUGCUAACGUCCGUCGUGAAGAGGGAAACAACCCAGACCGCCAGCUAAGGUCCCAAAGUCAUGGUUAAGUGGGAAACGAUGUGGGAAGGCACAGACAGCCAGGAUGUUGGCUUAGAAGCAGCCAUCAUUUAAAGAAAGCGUAAUAGCUCACUGGUCGAGUCGGCCUGCGCGGAAGAUGUAACGGGGCUAAACCAUGCACCGAAGCUGCGGCAGCGACGCUUAUGCGUUGUUGGGUAGGGGAGCGUUCUGUAAGCCGUUGAAGGUGGCCUGUGAGGGUUGCUGGAGGUAUCAGAAGUGCGAAUGCUGACAUAAGUAACGAUAAAGCGGGUGAAAAGCCCGCUCGCCGGAAGACCAAGGGUUCCUGUCCAACGUUAAUCGGGGCAGGGUGAGUCGACCCCUAAGGCGAGGCCGAAAGGCGUAGUCGAUGGGAAACAGGUUAAUAUUCCUGUACUUGGUGUUACUGCGAAGGGGGGACGGAGAAGGCUAUGUUAGCCGGGCGACGGUUGUCCCGGUUUAAGCAUGUAGGCGGAGGUUCCAGGUAAAUCCGGUACCUUUUAACGCUGAGGUGUGAUGACGAGGCACUACGGUGCUGAAGUAACAAAUGCCCUGCUUCCAGGAAAAGCCUCUAAGCAUCAGGUAACAUCAAAUCGUACCCCAAACCGACACAGGUGGUCAGGUAGAGAAUACCAAGGCGCUUGAGAGAACUCGGGUGAAGGAACUAGGCAAAAUGGUGCCGUAACUUCGGGAGAAGGCACGCUGAUAUGUAGGUGAAGCCCCUGCGGGUGGAGCUGAAAUCAGUCGAAGAUACCAGCUGGCUGCAACUGUUUAUUAAAAACACAGCACUGUGCAAACACGAAAGUGGACGUAUACGGUGUGACGCCUGCCCGGUGCCGGAAGGUUAAUUGAUGGGGUUAGCGGCAACGCGAAGCUCUUGAUCGAAGCCCCGGUAAACGGCGGCCGUAACUAUAACGGUCCUAAGGUAGCGAAAUUCCUUGUCGGGUAAGUUCCGACCUGCACGAAUGGCGUAAUGAUGGCCAGGCUGUCUCCACCCGAGACUCAGUGAAAUUGAACUCGCUGUGAAGAUGCAGUGUACCCGCGGCAAGACGGAAAGACCCCGUGAACCUUUACUAUAGCUUGACACUGAACACUGGUCCUUGAUGUGUAGGAUAGGUGGGAGGCUUUGAAGUGUGGACGCCAGUCUGCAUGGAGCCGUCCUUGAAAUACCACCCUUUAAUGGCUGGUGUUCUAACGUAGACCCGUAAUCCGGGUUGCGGACAGUGUCUGGUGGGUAGUUUGACUGGGGCGGUCUCCUCCCAAAGAGUAACGGAGGAGCACGAAGGUUAGCUAAUCCUGGUCGGACAUCAGGAGGUUAGUGCAAUGGCAUAAGCUAGCUUGACUGCGAGAGUGACGGCUCGAGCAGGUGCGAAAGCAGGUCAUAGUGAUCCGGUGGUUCUGAAUGGAAGGGCCAUCGCUCAACGGAUAAAAGGUACUCCGGGGAUAACAGGCUGAUACCGCCCAAGAGUUCAUAUCGACGGCGGUGUUUGGCACCUCGAUGUCGGCUCAUCACAUCCUGGGGCUGAAGUAGGUCCCAAGGGUAUGGCUGUUCGCCAUUUAAAGUGGUACGCGAGCUGGGUUUAGAACGUCGUGAGACAGUUCGGUCCCUAUCUGCCGUGGGCGCUGGAGAAUUGAGGGGGGCUGCUCCUAGUACGAGAGGACCGGAGUGGACGCAUCACUGGUGUUCGGGUUGUCAUGCCAAUGGCACUGCCCGGUAGCUAAAUGCGGAAAAGAUAAGUGCUGAAAGCAUCUAAGCACGAAACUUGCCCCGAGAUGAGUUCUCCCUGAGACUUUAAGUCUCCUGAAGGAACGUUGAAGACGACGACGUUGAUAGGUCGGGUGUGUAAGCGCAGCGAUGCGUUGAGCUAACCGAUACUAAUGAACCGUGAGGCUUAACCUU